UCCAGCUGAAUGAUCCCUGCAGUGGAGACGAUCGCGUCGGUGAGACGGAAGAGGAAGGGCGGCCCAUCCGCCGCGGCCCUUAGGUGAGGUCGCGGAGGCACAGAGAAGUUCAGUGACCCGCCCGGGGUCACACAGCUGACAAGUGGCAGAAUCGGGAUCCGAACCCAUGACCGCCGACCCCCAGCGUGGAAAGAGCCACGCCGCUUCUUUAGUACCGUACGGGAGUACGGGAGACUCCGUAGGCGUGAUCUCUGUCCACUAAGGGAGCCUACAGUCUGAUCGACCGAUGGAUUGCAAUGCAGUUUUCUGCUGGAAUCUCUGGUGCCGGGAGGUCACGUGUGUACUUUUUUUUUAAAAAAAAAAUCCAACGUA